CCAUCUUCUCUCCUCUUUUCACUUUCUUAAUACAAAUAUUAUCAUUAUUCACCAUAUUUUCUUCUAUUUCACCUUCUUAAUCUUAAAUGUGAGUUCUUUUUAUCAUAUGACAUAUAUGGGUUAUGGCGGCAGCGGUGGAGGCAAUAGGCACUGGUGGCGGCACUAAGCAUUGUGGAUCAGAUGUAAUAUGUUAGCAUGAGUGUGUGACUCUUCAUUAGUGUAUAUCUUUAAGAUAUGUAUCCAUGACGUAUCGGAGCGUAUCAGUGUUUGUCUGACACGGACACAUGGACCACUUUGACGUAUCUUUGCUUCACAGGUGGCGCCAAUGGUGGCAACAGGAGAAGAAGGUUCAAAAUCAGAAGAUUAGGUGAAGAAGAACAAUUAUUAACUAUGGUCUCUCGUAAUUUUAUAGGCAAAUUGAGGAGUUGUUGUAGGCCAAAAAUGCAGUAGUAAUGUACUAGAACUAAGAUAGAUCAUUUUGUAUGUCAAAAUAUUUACGGGAGACAAAUUCAUUAUCUUUUGUUAUAUGUAGAUGAAAUAUUGAUAGUGUGACAAAAAUGCGAAGAUGAUUGGUGAGUAGAAGAAGUUAUCAAAGUCUAUUUGUAUGAAGAAUCUAAGCCUUGUAAAACAAAUUCAGGGUAUGCAGAUUUUGCAAGACCAGAAGGCUAAGAAGUUGUGAUUGUCAUAGGAACGGUAUGUGGAACAAGUUCUAGAGAGGUUCAACAUGAAGGUUGCAAGUUGAUCGGCAUAGAUCCUAGAUGAAUGUUCCAAAAUUUUCCUCAUCAGCCAGACGAGAGAAUUGUGGGGUCCAACCAUGUGCAAUAAAUUAAAGGUCAUGAAACAUGACAUUCAUUGCAAAAAAAAAAAAAGAGUUUUGGACGAUGGAAGAUUGGCCCUAGAAAAAUUGCACCAGUACUAAAUGAUUUGCAGUGUUUUCACACUGCACAAUCCUAUGUAAAUUGAGGCGUUCUUCUUCAAUUGAAGAGGCAUAAAGUAGAAGCAAAAUAUAACAUAAGUCUUUGCAAGUCAGUUUCUGGUAGUGACUAAAAAUAGAGCGUGUGAGUAAAAAUCCUAAAGAAUGUGUAAAAAUACAUUUGGUUAAUUGAGUUUCCUCUGUAUUACUCAUUUAUGGCCAAGUCUAAGAUGCGAACUAGUAAUUAGUUCGCUUGGAUGUGAACUAAUACAGAAGUCGGUUUGAGCCCUGUUAACUUUGGCCCAUAUAGAAGUCAGUUUGGGUCUCACCGACUUCUAUAUAGAAGAAGUUUUUUAUGGAACCGACUUCUAUAUAGAAGUCGUUUUAGGCAAUAUUAACAUUAACAUUGCAGCACAUCUGGUAAGUUAAGCACAUUUUAUAGUUUGUAGAGUGAGUUCGAAUCUCACUCCACAAACUAUAAAAUCUGCUUUGCUGCAGUGUUAAUGUUAACAUUGCCUAAAACGACUUCUAUAUAGAAGUCGGUUCCAUAAAACACUUCUUCUAUAUAGAAGUCGGUUUACUUUGCCCUCAUUUAUAAUACAUAUUAUAGUAUUUGAAUAUGAGGGGUGUUAGUGAGAAAUACUAUAUUUGUGUCUCUUGUGUUAAUUUUGGUGUUCCUUUUUACUUUGUUAUGCAAACGUUUAUUCUUGUUGUGUUGCUCAGUUUGUAG